GAAACUGCGAAUGGCUCAUUAAAUCAGUUAUCGUUUAUUUGAUAGUACCUUACUACUUGGAUAACCGUGGUAAUUCUAGAGCUAAUACAUGCUAAAAAUCCCGACUCACGGAGGGAUGUAUUUAUUAGAUUAAAAACCAAUGCCCUUCGGGGCUCUUUGGUGAUUCAUAAUAACUUUUCGAAUCGCAUGGCCUUGCGCCGGCGAUGGUUCAUUCAAAUUUCUGCCCUAUCAACUUUCGAUGGCAGGGUCUUGGCCUGCCAUGGUGACAACGGGUAACGGAGGGUUAGGGCUCGACCCCGGAGAAGGAGCCUGAGAAACGGCUACUACAUCCAAGGAAGGCAGCAGGCGCGCAAAUUACCCAAUCCCGACUCGGGGAGGUAGUGACAAUAAAUACUGAUACAGGGCUCUUUUGGGUCUUGUAAUUGGAAUGAGUACAAUUUAAAUCCCUUAACGAGGAACAAUUGGAGGGCAAGUCUGGUGCCAGCAGCCGCGGUAAUUCCAGCUCCAAUAGCGUAUAUUAAAGUUGUUGCAGUUAAAAAGCUCGUAGUUGAACCUUGGGCCUGGCUGGCCGGUCCGCCUCACCGCGUGCACUGGUUCGGCCGGGCCUUUCCCUCUGGGGAACCGCAUGCCCUUCACUGGGUGUGCCGGGGAACCAGGACGUUUACUGUGAAAAAAUUAGAGUGUUCAAAGCAGGCCUAUGCUCGAAUACAUUAGCAUGGAAUAAUAGAAUAGGACGUGUGGUUCUAUUUUGUUGGUUUCUAGGACCGCCGUAAUGAUUAAUAGGGACAGUCGGGGGCAUCAGUAUUCAAUUGUCAGAGGUGAAAUUCUUAGAUUUAUUGAAGACUAACUACUGCGAAAGCAUUUGCCAAGGAUGUUUUCAUUAAUCAGGAACGAAAGUUAGGGGAUCGAAGACGAUCAGAUACCGUCGUAGUCUUAACCAUAAACUAUGCCGACUAGGGAUCGGGCGAUGUUAUUAUUUGACUCGCUCGGCACCUUACGAGAAAUCAAAGUCUUUGG
rnacentral:rRNA from 2 species